CCUACGGGUGGCAGCAGUGGGGAAUAUUGGACAAUGGGGGCAACCCUGAUCCAGCCAUGCCGCGUGUGUGAAGAAGGCCCUCGGGUUGUAAAGCACUUUCAGUGAGGAAGAACGCCUGGUGGUUAAUACCCAUCAGGAAAGACAUCACUCACAGAAGAAGCACCGGCUAACUCCGUGCCAGCAGCCGCGGUAAUACGGAGGGUGCGAGCGUUAAUCGGAAUUACUGGGCGUAAAGCGCGCGUAGGUGGCUUGAUAAGCCGGUUGUGAAAGCCCCGGGCUCAACCUGGGAACGGCAUCCGGAACUGUCAAGCUAGAGUGCAGGAGAGGAAGGUAGAAUUCCCGGUGUAGCGGUGAAAUGCGUAGAGAUCGGGAGGAAUACCAGUGGCGAAGGCGGCCUUCUGGACAGACACUGACGCUGAGGUGCGAAAGCGUGGGUAGCAAACAGGAUUAGAUACCCUAGUAGUC
rnacentral:rRNA from 1 species